UACGUAGGGGGCAAGCGUUGUCCGGAUUUAUUGGGCGUAAAGAGCGUGUAGGCGGUUUGGUAGGUCCGCUGUGAAAACUCGAGGCUCAACCUCGAGACGCCGGUGGAAACCAUCAGACUAGAGUCCGGAAGAGGAGAGUGGAACUGCGAGUGUAGAGGUGAAAUUCGUAGAUAUUCGCAAGAACACCAGUGGCGAAGGCGGCUCACUGGCCCGGUACUGACGCUGAGGUGCGAAAGCGUGGGGAGCAAACAGG
rnacentral:rRNA from 1 species